AUGACUGCGCGUGCUGUAGCCGUGGAAUAUGUGAGGGGUGCGGGGGUGUCGGGAACGACUGAGCGUAAAGCUCCCGGAGGCUCUGUCUCACGUCCGGGGUGAAAACCCAGAUCUUAACUCUGGGACUGCCUUGGAUACGGGGAAAGUUGAGGAGCGGAGAGGCAAGGGGAAUUCCACGUGUAGCGGUGAAAUGCGUAGAGAUGUGGAGGAACACCUGUGGCGAAGGCGCCUUGCUGGCCGAUUUCUGACGCUGAGGCGCGAAAGCGUGGGGAGCAAACAGGAUUAGAUACCCGGGUAGUC
rnacentral:rRNA from 1 species